GCUACAGUGGCUGCGUUUCCUAAUAUGGAUGAUAAGAUCGAAAGCAUUAGCUUGAAGAUAAACACUUGACCAAUCAACUUGGAGUUGCUUAUAGCAUGCGUAACAAUUACAUAUAGAAUGAAGCCGCGUCUCAAAGAAGACACCUAAAGAAUGAUGUCAAAGGGAACCGCUUUUUGGAUGGCUACAGCCCGGUCACACUAUGCAGUCGAAAGCCUGGCAUAAGCCGAAAAGCAUAUGGCCACCGUCUUCCAGAAAUGUACAACAGAGAAACAUGUUUUCUACAACUUAUCGAACCUAAUACAGCUGGUGUUGGUAAGAUAAGUUGUAAACAAA